AUCUCUAUCAUCCCUUUGGCAAGAUCACUGGUGAAGGAAUUAAACAGUAUAUGCUCCAGUACUGAGUCACAGACUACCCAUCCAACUUAUGCUCUGGAGUCCAUCCAUCCAGAUUGUAUUUUCAGAACAUGGCUCUGAGAUUACUCUGGAGCACUGCCUUGAAAGCCUUGGUGAAGUUUAGCAAAGCUGCCUCUGGAGCAGAGUGGACCCACGGCACCAGUUGCUGGAUCCAGGUUCAGGACGACUUUACAGAUUUUCUGUCUGUCUAGCUACAGUCUGUCUCUUCCCAUUUAAGAGCAGAUCUCCUUUUUCCUUGCACCAAUAAGUAUCCUUUUUCAAUGUUACCUGCUUUCCUUCUCCCUCCUUUGAGUGACAGGCCAAAUGGAGGACCUAUUACCUAUUGAAACCAUUAGCAGCAGACCUUGACUGCUCAGAGCCCUUGAAGGUCUGUGAGAAGCUCAGUGGGUACAUUUUAGACACAUGCAGCUGUAUCGGUCUCCUUCGAGCAGUAUAAUUGGGUCAGAAAGAAGCAAACUCAAAGUAUCCUCCCUGUGGAAAAGCCAUCACUUCUACAGCUGAUGGAACCAAUUCCCUGGCUCCUGAAUAGGAAAUAUUUCAAAAGCAGGGACACAGGAGGGUGAUGGGGUACUGCAGUCUCAACGAGCAGGUCAUAAGUUUCUCAUGUACAUUGGGACUUCUGUGGCAUGUUACCUCCCCUAAGGUGAAUACUAAGUUAUCAAUAGAACUGGGAGAUGAUUCAUAGCUCCCUGAUAGCUAAUCAGGGCUCCUUGUGUGAAGCAGAUCAUGGGAGCUGGAGAGAAACUCUUUAGUGCUUUUGAGUAUUCCUAAGGCAACACAUCAUCAGAACAAAUAGUAGAGGAAGUUAGGGCACUUCAAACACCUUAGUUUUUUUUGAAAUCACAUUUUCUUCCCUGACUGCUCUCUUGUUCACUGAUGCAAGAGCCAGUGACUGCAUGCAGUGACAGCAAAUUAUCACUUCCACUGUGGUAAAGUGAGAAUUCAGCCACAGCCCAACAAGUUGGUGCAGUGUGGUACAUGUGAGUGUAGAGAAGUUUCCAAAAAGAGCAAUUCCAUCUUUAAACAUGUUGCAGCAAACUACAGAAGCCCAUGUAACUCAAUACUGCUGAGUAGCUUGGUUUCCUUUGUGUGCAGGUAUGAUUGACUUUAUCCUAGACUAGACUCUCUGGCUGAAUAGUUCAUUAUGUAUUUCUGCAGUCAAAACUUUAAUUUGUCACAUAUCCCAAAGCUGCCUUUAUUUCUUGGUUGUAUUUUAUUCACCUAAGCUAUCCGGACUCUAUUCAUGUGGCUUCUAGGUCCGUAACUAUGAUACAAUGAUUUGGAAAAUGGUGAGAUCUUGUUCAGUGAGAUUUGCAGGCAUUUUUUUCUGCUUUCUUAUAUCUUUUAAGAUUUGAUGUAUAUAGAAAUUAGUUUUAUUUCAUUUGAAAUCUCUCUAAAUCCAUAAAAAUUGCAAAAAAAUACAGAUCUGAGAAUAACUUCAAUAGCAACACUGUGGAUCCUCUGCAUCAGCUAAAACUAAAUGUAUCUGUGUCAUUUCAGAUAUGUUCAUCCAGCAUAGUGAUGAUAUUUUCAGGAAAUCCAUAAUGGUGGGUUACUGCUGCGAAAAUUUUGUCUUAUCUAACCUGAAUGAUAUUUGCUGUGGUCGAAUCACAAAUCUUCUCAAUCACAGACAUGGAACCACAUGUAUAGAGGACCACUCAGGAAGGUCACAGAGGAUACCCUUGUUUGCAGGAUCCUAUCAUGUCUCUGAAAUCUGUUAUAAUGGAUUUUCCUCGUGAUCUUCAGUUUACUAUUUCUAGAUGUUAUAGUUGUGGCUUUUCUUCCCUUUCUGUGUCACACUUUCUCAUGUGUUUAUUCUUAACUUUAGUUCUAGACUGAUAAUUUCAUUAUGAGAAUUUUCAGGUUAAAGAAGUGUUUUCUUCCCUGAAAAUUCUCACAAAAUUAAACUUAUUGCAACACUAAAAAAAUUAUUAGAAAAAGUAAAGUAUAUUGCAAAAAAUCAACUUAAAGCAUUCCAUACCAAAAAAUAUCUGGUCUUCAUAAACUACUGGUAAAAAUAUAAGUAUUCUGCAAGAUGUCUGGACCUCACAAGAUGAAAUAACACCAUUAAAUAUCACUUCUAUUUGAAACAUUGGAAACCCUUUGCUUAAUAAAACAAAUCAAAUUAAAAUUAAUUCUGUUGCAAAAUACCUCAGGGUUUAAAAAGGUGGUCAAAGAGAGUAAAAAAAAUGAACAGAAUCAAUAUGGAUUGUUAAAAAAUUAGUCUUGUUACAUGUAAUGAAAUGAAAUUAAAUGUAAGGGACAGAAACACAGAAGAAUAGUUGAAAGAGAAUGACAGGAUGUGACUUCAAGGGAUUUUAUUUUGUUUUGCUUUCGUUCUGCCCCUUUAUAGAGAUUAGUGACUGAAUCUUCAAUCCUGGGCUUAAUUUUUGUACUGAAUGUAAUUUUUCUUAAAGGUCAGGGUAUUACUUAAUAAUUAGUGCUCUUAUCAAAAUAAAUAGUAAAAAUCAUGUGAAUUUUAAUGUUAAUUAGUGAGUAAUGUCUAAAACUGAAAAGUUUGGACAAAUCAAUUAUUCCAUGCAUAUAUAUUAUUUGAAUGGUAAGCUGUUCUGAAACUACAUUUUUAACAACCAUUUUCAAAGAAACAGCUAAUUAUGGAUGGUGAACUUUCUAAAUGAAACUUAAUGCUAUUAGAGAUUUAAUUGAAUAAAGAUACAAUAAGGGGUAAAAUUCUGUUCAGAUUUAUCUAAAUGAAAAUGUGUCAGUGUUAGCAAGAACAGAACUUGGUUCACUGCAUUUUCAAAUAUAUUUGGCCUCUCUGUUCAUCAGCCUGACUAAGAAAUAGUAUCUAAAUCUGAGAACUUUAAAUAUUAUUUAAAAUAUAUUAGAAAUAUAAUGGUAUUUGAAUCUAAUAUUUUUACACAUAUAGUGUCUAUAUGAGGUGAAUACUCAAACAUGUACAAUUUUAUAACUAAAUAAUAUUUAAUAUUUUAAAUUAAUUGAUUAGUCUAUACAUAAAUUUGUAUUUCCUAUACAGAUGUUUUUCUGAUAUAUGUAGAUGAUAUGUACAAUCACAUACAUAAUAAACAUAAAUUAACUCACUUUUUUUUAAUUUAUCAUAAUAUGUAUUUAUUUUAAAUUUUGUUAUCACAAUAUAGCUUCAUAGAAUGACAGAGUUGCUCUGGCUGAGAAAACACUUCUUUAAAUCUCCUUUUUUCCAUGUCUGUUUAAUAUUUUAAUAAAAAAAUUCUUUGCCAUGAAGUACCUGAUGCUUCUUAUUAAACCAGAAAUUUACUUUAAAAUUUGAGUUGUUAGUGUUCCCACCUGGUUAUCUCCAGUUUUCAAAAACAUUUCAUACAAGGUGAGUGUUCUUGUCAAUUAGAAAGCAGUGCUGCUGGAAAAAGAGAAUCCAUGUUAUAUAUCUCCUGGUGCUUCCAGAACUAAUUCCACAAUUAACAAGUAAAAUUAUUUACAUCUCUCAUCUCUUUUCUUGCUGCCACACUUACUUCCCUGUCUUUUCAUCUUAGGAUACUUUUCAUCCUUAACUUUUGAACGUAAGACGUGAAUCCUUAUUUUUUUUUAAAUGCUGUUCCAUGAAUUUUGAAAUGAAAUGUAGGUAUUUUAAGCCUGAAUCUUAUAUGAGCCACAUUUUUUGACUGCUUGUGGCUGGAGGCAUAUAAUUUUUAGGUACGUGUCUUUGAUUUUACUCUUGUACACCUUGAGACAAGUGUUAAGUCAGCAUUACUCCAAA